rnacentral:rRNA from 1 species
UACGGAGGGUGCGAGCGUUGUCCGGAAUCACUGGGCGUAAAGGGCGCGUAGGCGGUCUGCUAAGCGUGCGGUGAAAGCCUGGGGCUCAACCCCAGGUCUGCCGUGCGAACUGGUGGACUAGAGCACUGUAGAGGCAGGUGGAAUUUCGGGUGUAGCGGUGGAAUGCGUAGAUAUCUGGAGGAAUACCGGUGGCGAAGGCGGCGAUCCUGGACCGGCAUUGACGCUGAAGCGCGAAAGCUAGGGGAGCAAACGGGG